GUUAUAAUAGUUUAAUUAAAACAAAGGUUUUGUAAACCUUAAAUGAUCCUUCUUAUAAUU
rnacentral:tRNA from 1 species